GAUGAACGCUGGCGGCGUGCUUAACACAUGCAAGUCGAACGGUGAACACGGAGCUUGCUCUGUGGGAUCAGUGGCGAACGGGUGAGUAACACGUGAGCAACCUGCCCCUGACUCUGGGAUAAGCGCUGGAAACGGCGUCUAAUACUGGAUAUGUGACGUGACCGCAUGGUCUGCGUUUGGAAAGAUUUUUCGGUUGGGGAUGGGCUCGCGGCCUAUCAGCUUGUUGGUGAGGUAAUGGCUCACCAAGGCGUCGACGGGUAGCCGGCCUGAGAGGGUGACCGGCCACACUGGGAUUGAGACACGGCCCAGACUCCUACGGGAGGCAGCAGUGGGGAAUAUUGCACAAUGGGCGAAAGCCUGAUGCAGCAAUGCCGCGUGAGGGAUGACGGCCUUCGGGUUGUAAACCUUUUUUAGCAGGGAAGAAGCGAAAGUGACGGUACCUGCAGAAAAAGCGCCGGCUAACUACGUG
rnacentral:rRNA from 1 species